rfam:Ailuropoda melanoleuca scaffold1405_23, whole genome shotgun sequence.
ACCUGGCUGGCUCAGUUGGUAGAGCGUGUGCCUCUUGGUCUCAAGAUUUUGAGUUCAAACCCCAUGUUGGGUG